AUCCAACUGACGAGUCCCAAAUAAGUCGAAACGCGCAUCAAACUGGAU
rfam:Schistosoma margrebowiei strain Zambia genome assembly, scaffold: SMRZ_contig0000344